rnacentral:rRNA from 1 species
GACGAACGCUGGCGGCGUGCCUAAUACAUGCAAGUCGAACGCAGUGGGGACGGGUGAGUAACACGUGGGUAACCUCCCAUCAGAGGGGAUAACACUUGGAAACAGGUGCUAAACCGAUACUGAUGGAUGGACCCGCGGUGCAUUAGCUAGUUGGUGAGGUAACGGCUCACCAAGGCCACGAUGCAUAGCCGACCUGAGAGGGGGAUCGGACACACUGGGACGUAGACACGGCCCAGACUCCUACGGGAGGCAGCAGUGGGGAAUCUUCGGCAAUGGACGAAAGUCUGACCGAGCAACGCCGCGUGAGUGAAGAAGGUUUUCGGAUCGUAAAACUCUUUUGUUAGCGAAGCGGUACCUAAUCAGAAAGCCACGGCUAACGACGUGACAGCAGCCGCGGUAAUUC